rnacentral:rRNA from 1 species
AGUUGUAUCCUGGCUCAGGAUGAACGCUAGCGGCAGGCUUAACACAUGCAAGUCGAGGGGUAACAGGAGUAGCUUGCUAUUUGCUGACGACCGGCGCACGGGUGCGUAACGCGUAUAGAAUCUACCUUGUACUAGGGGAUAGCCUUUGGAAACGAAGAUUAAUACCCUAUAGUAAGUAUUUAUGGCAUCAUUUAUACUUUAAAGGUUACGGUACAAGAUGACUAUGCGUCCUAUUAGUUUGUUGGUGAGGUAACGGCUCACCAAGACUUCGAUAGGUAGGGGCCCUGAGAGGGGGAUCCCCCACACUGGUACUGAGACACGGACCAGACUCCUACGGGAGGCAGCAGUGAGGAAUAUUGGACAAUGGAGGCAACUCUGAUCCAGCCAUGCCGCGUGCAGGAUGACGGCCCUAUGGGUUGUAAACUGCUUUUACGUAGGAAGAAACACUCUCACGUGUGAGAGCUUGACGGUACUACAAGAAUAAGGACCGGCUAACUCCGUGCCAGCAGCCGCGGUAAUACGGAGGGUCCAAGCGUUAUCCGGAAUCAUUGGGUUUAAAGGGUCCGUAGGCGGGCUAUUAAGUCAGAGGUGAAAGUUUGCAGCUCAACUGUAAAAUUGCCUUUGAAACUGGUAGUCUUGAAUUAUUAUGAAGUGGUUAGAAUAAGUAGUGUAGCGGUGAAAUGCAUAGAUAUUACUUAGAAUACCAAUUGCGAAGGCAGAUCACUAAUAAUAUAUUGACGCUGANGGACGAAAGCGUGGGGAGCGAACAGGAUUAGAUACCCUGGUAGUCCACGCCGUAAACGAUGGAAUACUAGCUGUUCGGAAUUUAUCUGAGUGGCUAAGCGAAAGUGAUAAGUAUCCCACCUGGGGAGUACGUUCGCAAGAA